UGGGGAAUAUUGCGCAAUGGGGGGAACCCUGACGCAGCCAUGCCGCGUGAAUGAAGAAGGCCUUCGGGUUGUAAAGUUCUUUCGGUAUUGAGGAAGGUUGAUGUGUUAAUAGCACAUCAAAUUGACGUUAAAUACAGAAGAAGCACCGGCUAACUCCGUGCCAGCAGCCGCGGUAAUACGGAGGGUGCGAGCGUUAAUCGGAAUAACUGGGCGUAAAGGGCACGCAGGCGGUUAUUUAAGUGAGGUGUGAAAGCCCUGGGCUUAACCUAGGAAUUGCAUUUCAGACUGGGUAACUAGAGUACUUUAGGGAGGGGUAGAAUUCCACGUGUAGCGGUGAAAUGCGUAGAGAUGUGGAGGAAUACCGAAGGCGAAGGCAGCCCCUUGGGAAUGUACUGACGCUCAUGUGCGAAAGCGUGGGGAGCAAACAGGAUUAGAUACCCUGGUAGUCCACGCUGUAAACGCUGUCGAUUUGGGGAUUGGGCUUAGAGCUUGGUGCCCGUAGCUAACGUGAUAAAUCGACCGCCUGGGGAGUACGGCCGCAAGAUUA
rnacentral:rRNA from 1 species